rnacentral:rRNA from 1 species
GAUGAACGCUGGCGCCGUGCCUAACACAUGCAAGUCGAACGGACAUUUUUUGGAAAGUUCUUCGGAACUGGAAUCUAAAUGUUAGUGGCGGACGGGUGAGUAACGCGUGAGCAAUCUGCCUUUCAGAGGGGGAUAACAGCUGGAAACGGCUGCUAAUACCGCAUAAUGCAUCGAAUUCGCAUGUUUCUGAUGCCAAAGAUUUUAUCGCUGAAAGAUGAGCUCGCGUCUGAUUAGCUAGUUGGCGGGGUAACGGCCCACCAAGGCGACGAUCAGUAGCCGGACUGAGAGGUUGAACGGCCACAUUGGGACUGAGACACGGCCCAGACUCCUACGGGAGGCAGCAGUGGGGAAUAUUGCGCAAUGGGGGCAACCCUGACGCAGCAACGCCGCGUGAUUGAUGAAGGUCUUCGGAUUGUAAAAAUCUUUAAUCAGGGACGAAUAAAAUGACGGUACCUGAAGAAUAAGCUCCGGCUAACUACGUGCCAGCAGCCGCGGUAAUACGUAGGGAGCAAGCGUUAUCCGGAUUUACUGGGUGUAAAGGGCGUGUAGGCGGGCUUGCAAGUUGGAAGUGAAAUCUCGGGGCUUAACCCCGAAACUGCUUUCAAAACUGCGAGUCUUGAGUGAUGGAGAGGCAGGCGGAAUUCCCAGUGUAGCGGUGAAAUGCGUAGAUAUUGGGAGGAACACCAGUGGCGAAGGCGGCCUGCUGGACAUUAACUGACGCUGAGGCGCGAAAGCGUGGGGAGCAAACAGG